CUCAGUGAAAAACAGCUCGUUACUAGCGGAACAGACACUACUCCCAAACUUGCUGAGAGGAUCCUAAUAUCACUUUAUGGAAAUCAGGCCUCACAAUGGAGUCACUCACCUCCCGGGGACACGGCUGGAAAUAAGAUUUCCUGCCACCAGAGGAUCCAGCCAAUCAGCUGAGGAGAAUUCUCCCGCCUCAAAACAUCUGGACCAAUGAACAGCUGAAAACAUCUGGAACCGUCGCUAGGAAGAAGAACCGAGACCGGCUGGAACUGGAUUCACCUCAGGUUGGAUGAUUAUAAUUGAUCGUUUUACACAGAAAUUCCUUUGGACACACAAGAUAAGCAAAUGAAGGAGAUGUGAAGACCAGAAAUAUGAAG